rnacentral:rRNA from 1 species
GGAAAAGAAACCAACAGGGAUUGCCUUAGUAACGGCGAGUGAAGCGGCAAAAGCUCAGAUUUGAAAUCUGGCGUCUCAUGGCGUCCGAGUUGUAAUCUGUAGAGGAGUGUUCGAGUGUGGAUUUGGCUUAAGUUCCUUGGAACAGGGCGUCAUAGAGGGUGAGAACCCCGUUAGCGGCCUAUGUCUUAUGCUCAUGUGAACCUUCUUCGACGAGUCGAGUUGUUUGGGAAUGCAGCUCUAAAUUGGUGGUAAAUUCCAUCUAAAGCUAAAUACUGGCAAGAGACCGAUAGCGCACAAGUAGAGUGAUCGAAAGAUGAAAAGAACUCUGAACAGAGAGUUAAAUAGUACGUGAAAUUGUUGAAAGGGAAGCACUUGCUACCAGACAUGCCUGUAGUUGAUCAGCCUCCAUUCUUGGUGGUGCACUCUUCUAUAGGUGGGUCAGCAUCAGUUACAAUGAUGGGAUAAAGACUUUAGGAAUGUAGCUUCUUUCGGGGAGUGUUAUAGCCUGAGGUGUAAUACUAUUUGAUGUGACUGAGGACCGCGCUUCGGCGAGGAUGCUGGCAUAAUGGUCGUAAGUGACCCGUCUUGAAACACGGACCAAGGAGUCUAACAUCUAUGCGAGUGUUUGGGCGUGAAAACCCUUACGCGUAA